UACGUAGGCGGCUUUGUAAGUUAGAGGUGAAAGCCCGGAGCUCAACUCCGGAAUUGCCUUUAAGACUGCAUCGCUUGAAUCAUGGAGAGGUGAGUGGAAUUCCGAGUGUAGAGGUGAAAUUCGUAGAUAUUCGGAAGAACACCAGUGGCGAAGGCGACUCACUGGACAUGUAUUGACGCUGAGGUACGAAAGCGUGGGAGCAAACA
rnacentral:rRNA from 1 species